GAUGAAGAACGUAUCGAAAUGCGAUAAGUAAUGUGAAUUGCAGAAUUCAGUGAAUCAUCGAAUCUUUGAACGCACAUUGCGCCCGCCAGUAUUCUGGCGGGCAUGCCUGUCCGAGCGUCAUUUCAACCCUCGAACCCCUCCGGGGGGUCGGCGUUGGGGAUCGGCACUUACCUGCCGGCCCCGAAAUACAGUGGCGGUCUCGCCGCAGCCUCUCCUGCGCAGUAGUUUGCACACUCGCACCGGGAGCGCGGCGCGUCCACGGCCGUAAAACAACCCAAACUUCUGAAAUGUUGACCUCGGAUCAGGUAGGAAUACCCGCUGAACUUAAGCAUAUCAAUAACGGAGGA
rnacentral:misc_RNA from 1 species